rnacentral:ribozyme from 11 species
UUUUUUCUCCUUUCCUUUUUUUCUCUUUGCUCUUUCCUUGUCUGCGUGCAAGCGUUACAGUCGUAAAGAAAGAA